ACUAUGUGAUUCUCUAGCCUUGACAAAAUCACUAACAGGGGCAGAACAUGCUACCAACCUAUCUGCUCUAGCAUUCCCUUCCCCAAGGCCACAAUCCCACAUAUGACUACGGAUGUGAAUCACUGCAUAUGGUUUUGUUCUUCCUUGAAUUAAUGUACGCAACUGUCUAAACAGUUCUCCCAAGCGCAGUUGCUUAACAUCCUUAAUCUGAGAAUCUUCUAUCCUGUGUAACACACCCGCGACAUACAGCGAAUCGGUCACAAUAUUAAUUGUUUCCUCUCUCCACUUCCCCAUGGCCCAUACAACAGCAGCAAGCUCCAAUGUCUGCAAGGAAUCUCCCGGAACAGCUUCCAGCAAGUGGUGGUGCCACUCACCACAAGCGAUCCAGGUAACUGCAGCUCUUCUGGACCUUUUUCCUGCAUCCGUAAACACUGUCUGGGCAUCUUCUAGGGGUGAUUUACUGCGGAGAGGUUUCUGCAUCCAUUCAUUGUGACCAAUAAACUGCACUAUUGCCGCCUUUACAGGAGACAAGGAUAUAGUUGUAGCUGAUGAGAAUAAACACUCACACAACUCCUCGCUAUUCUGAAGAGAGAUCCACCGGAGUGGAGGGAUCGGUUCCACGCAGCAAUGGUCGUAACACCUCUAACUGCGUAUUGGUAAUACCCACGACAGGCCUUAACCAUUGUAAAUCCCCCAUGAGUUUCUGAACAUCAUGAAGUGUCCUAAUAUCUGUGGUAAUAUGCGGUUUUUGCGGUCGAAUUUGGGAGUCAGUAAUUUUCCACCCUAAGUACAACCACGGUUCUUGUCGCUGAAUUUUUUCCUUAGCAAUUACUAAACCCUCCUUAUACAACUGACAAUGUAAAAAUUGCAAUUGUUGCUCAGUAAAGUCUUGUUCUUGUGCAAUAAGAAUA